UUUUUUAAAUAAAAAGUAACUUUCUUAAUAAGUAUGUUUUACCUAAAAAAUCUUAAAUUUAGGAAUUGAGGGAGUAGUGAUUCGGGGUGGGCAUUCUGGUCCGUUUUUGCGUCUAUUUGGGAUUUCAUCUUCGGUUCAGAUUUGGAUAACCAAUUUAAAUUAUUUUUAAAAAUUUAAAAUUUAUCAUAUUCUUUAAUUUUUAAAAAAUCUAUAAACAAUAGAAUAUAUGGGAAAUUUUAUGUUUACCACUUUCAGG
rnacentral:lncRNA from 1 species